GACGAACGCUGGCGGCGUGCCUAAUACAUGCAAGUCGAACGCAGUUGGGACGGGUUAGUAACACGUGGGUAACCUCCCCAUCAGAGGGGAUAACCCUUGGAAACAGGUGCUAAACCGAUAUUGAGGGAUGGAUCCGCGGUGCAUUAGCUAGUUGGUGAGGUAACGGCUCACCAAGGCAACGAUGCAUAGCCGACCUGAGAGGGUGAGCGGCCACACUGGGACUGAGACACGGCCCAGACUCCUACGGGAGGCAGCAGUAGGGAAUCUUCCGCAAUGGACGAAAGCCUGACCGAGCAACGCCGCGUGAGUGAAGAAGGUUUUCGGAUCGUAAAACUCUGUUAUUAGAGAAGCGGUAUCUAACCAGAAAGCCACGGCUAACUACGUGCCAGCAGCCGCGGUAAUUC
rnacentral:rRNA from 1 species